UACGAAGGGGGCUAGCGUUGCUCGGAAUUACUGGGCGUAAAGGGUGCGUAGGCGGUUGUUUAAGUCUGUCGUGAAAUCCCCGGGCUCAACCUGGGAAUGGCGAUGGAUACUGGACAGCUAGAGUGUGUCAGAGGAUGGUGGAAUUCCCGGUGUAGCGGUGAAAUGCGUAGAGAUCGGGAGGAACAUCAGUGGCGAAGGCGGCCAUCUGGGACAACACUGACGCUGAAGCACGGAAAAGCGUGGGGAGCAAACAGGG
rnacentral:rRNA from 1 species